rnacentral:lncRNA from 1 species
GAGCCCUGGGGCCCAAAGGAAGCUUCUGCCCCCCCCCCCGAGGAGGGUCUCCCACACGUGGGCUCUGCCAAGAGCAGCACCAGCACGCGGUGGCAGUUACUCCUCCCGGGGCUGGGCGGGGGCCAGGAGGAAAGACCGCAUUUCACUGGCAGCCAGGGCCGGAGAAAGGGAAAGCUAUGCAAGGCUAACAGAGCAAAAAGAAAAGGGGGAGACUCAAACACCUCCUAAAAAUCAGGUUCCACUCUGCCCUAUAAAGGAUAGACUUGGGAACAUGGAGGCACCUCGGGACCACCUUAACUGAAAUAAAUCAGACACACAAGCUUAAACAUGUGGUUUCUCUUACACGAGAAACCCAAAGUAGAAAUAAAAUAAAGACCAAAAUAAAAGAUACAUAAUAGGAAAUGGAGAUAGAUAUUUUGUAAGAGGGAAGGGGACCAAGAGAUGUGGAGACAUGGGGGAGGAAUAGUGGAAUAAAAAGAUUAAGAUGUUAAGUACAGGUAUCAACUCCCCACGAUGAAUGUACUGGACAAAUAAGAGUAAAAAAGAAAACGGUCUUAAUCAGAAACCCACACCGUACCCAGCAGUGCUCACAGCAGCUGUGUGCCACCCCACACUUGGGCAGCCAGGGCUGCGGCUCCCAGGCAAGAGGCCGAGGGCUCGGGAGGUGGCCAGGGAGGCCCCACUGCCUCUGCCAGUAGAAAUGAGGUGCUCAGUGAGGCUGGACAUGGGCACCCCACCCGGGAGAUCAUGGGGUGGCCCCUGCCUCCACUGUGACCCAGAAGCAGUCCUUUCUCCCAGAUCAGAUCGGGCCAAUGGGAGUGAGCUCUCUGCCUGGAAUUCUUCAGGUGCCUGGACUGAGCUGUACCAGCCAUUCCUGCCCAGUGAAACGGGCAGAGCUGGAGGAGCCGGCUGUGAAGGCAGCUUCCUCCCGAGCGGGGACCAGCAGAAAACUCCUGCCUCCCACUGCAGCCUCAAGGCACGACAGGCCAGCCAGGGCAACCUCCUGCUACCGGGCCGUGGGCAAAGCAGAUGGACAGCAGGACUCACUCAACUGUGUGCCACAACCCUCGGACGGACCCCGACUCCAGGAAGGGGCGCAGUGCGCAGGCUCCCUACCCGAAGCCGAGCACCAGUGCUACCCCUCGGUCUCCUCCCUGUGACGGCAGUGAUAACCCUGUUGCUGCUGCGUCACGUGGGCCAGCGAAGUUCACACGUGCCAGGUGCUAACCACGGCAAGGGCUCACUUCCGCCUGCAAGGACACUGCCGGGGCCGUUCCAGGGGUCAUCAGUGCCAACACUGAUCUGCCACGAGGCAGGGCACAGGAAGAGGAAAGAAGGAAAGCUCGUGACCGGAGCAGACGUGGUGGACAGACCCCACUUCAAAGCAUCCCCGCCCCUGCCUGCCGGUCAUGACUGCGGCACACACGACCUUGGGAAGGGGUCGCUUGGCAAGGUCAAGGCCCGGGCUGGUGGUGGUGGUGGAGCUUCAGACUCACAGAAACCAACCCUCUUCCUACAGGAGGCCUCGAAAGUUUUCUUUCAAGAUGCUUUGGAAAUUUGGGUGGAAGAGAAAGUGGUAUUUUUAUGA